UUCGCACCGGUACGGGGUCCGUACCGGCCGGUACACAGAUGAAAACCGGAUAUACCGGUUUUCAUCGCUCUCCGGUACCGGUCAAGCACCGGACCGGUUUGUACCGGCCCGUACCGGCCGGUACGGACCGGUACGGCUUUCCUUGAUAUUAGCUGUAGAGUGCAUUUGGCCCCAAAUAUGUAUUUUAAUAUGUAACUACAUGCCAGAUGCCAAACUAUGUUGAAACAUUGGAUUUGAGCUCGUUGUACUAACAUGGAUUGUUGCAUGUUCAACUAUCUGCAACCAAACAGGCCUAUGGUGCAAUUAUGGAUUUUAUAGGCUUAAACAACUCAGCAAAGUGUUUACAUUAGCUUAUUAGUAAGUGAUGGGAUUUUAGCUUACUAAAGGCUCAGUUAAAAUUCCUCUUUUUUCUCUAUCAUUUGUUGCCUUUUUGUGAUUGUUUUCUUGUUUCAACCUUGGGUUUGCAACUUAACAUGAACUCAUGAUGUACAUCAUCAUAGAUAUCAUUGUGUGCAUUUGUAAUAAUACUGCAGGGCAAGCAUCAAAAGCUCCUUCAGUCUUAGCUAGGCUGAAUAUUUUUUUGUUUUCGUAACUUUGACAGUUUUGACAGAAACUAAAAACAAUAGCUUAGAAAUAUUAAAAUAUUAAAUUAGAAAAAAUAUUUGAAGUCAAGAAAGUAAGUUAUGCUUAAUCUAAAAGGAUGGUGCGUUGUUUGAGAUCUUUGUCUCAUUUUGGAGGUUUUGCAUCGGAAAAGUCAGAAAAAUAAUAUUUCUUAGCAAAAUGUUAAAAAUAAUGUUUGACAUUAUUUUAGGGAGUAAUAUGUCAUUUUAAUUAUUGUUUGUUGAUUAUCAAUUGACUGGCAAUCAUAAAAUUAUGAGAUUUAACUCAAUAGGCAACCCAUAUGUUGAUAGAUUUCUUUAAUUUCUUUGUACUCACAGUGCUUUCAGAUUUCGAAGCAUUCAAAGUUUAUGUUAGGCUUGAGAAUAUGCUUCUUGAAAUCCAAAGGGAUGAACAAAUUGUAAAGAGGUGUAAAACAUGCAUAUAAAGGUUUUUUGUUUUCUCUGAGUUAAAAUCGUCAUGUCAAUUCUGUUAUUUUAUUAAAGUUGAGGUCUUAAGUCAGUCUGCUCUGGAUGGUUACAUAGAAACAAAAGUGAGAUUUUGAGGGGAAGGCUCUGGCAUUAGCUUGAUAACUUGAUUGACAAAUUUCAGGGUAGUGGUACUGCCACUUUAAUUCGUUGUGGACUCAACUGCAUAUGUGAUGUCAGGAGUUUGUCAACGUAUUCUAUAAUCAUCAUAAACUUGGUUUGCUUGUGGGAUACAAAUAGUAAUCAGUAGUCAGGAAUCUUUUCGUGAAGGAUGUUACUUAUGAAGGAAACCCUAAUCAAAUUCUAAACUAUGCUUCUUUUAGUGCAUGGAAACAAAAUUUUGUUAAGCUAAUAUGCACUUUUACAGGAGAAGGAUCUCCUAUCUCGGUCCAUGGGUUCGUCCACAAUCAAACAAAUAUGUUACAACAAUUGUGAAAUUGAAUAUUAUUUUUCAAAAGCGAGGAUGCAUGUUUGAUGUGUAUAUUUCCUCAACGUUCAUUUACAAGAACACCGAAAGAAUAAACAUAGAAUUUAUUUUAGUUUUGUUUCCAUUACAAUUGUAAAAUUUGUGCUUCGACAACUAUAAGAAUAAACAUACCUACUAAUUAUUAAUGCAUUUAAGUGUGUUUUUGCUCCGUCUCUUCUUUUAUAUAUUGGCUCUAUGAAAGAAUUUGUUGGCAUGUAUAUGCUUUGAAGAUACUCGGUAUAUAUGCUUGUUAAAGAAAUUGUGAGGAAAUGGAGCAUUAGUGUUGCUGUGAGAGAUUUUUACCAUCAUGGAAUUGCAUUUUCUUUUGACACAGAUUUGCAUAAGCAUGGAAAUACUUAUGUUUAUAUCUGCUAUGCAAUUCAUGAAUCGAAGGAAUGCUGCCUUUGCCAGGACUGGGGAGUUUAGGCGUAUUUGUGGAGCAUUGACAAUGCUGUAGAUUCUCAAGUUACCCUUGGACCUCAUGUAAGCAGGGAAAAAAGGGGGGGAAUGAUAAAAAGAGAUGUUACCUGUGAUCCAAUUUCACUCUAAUCAAGUCAUAAGUCAUUCUGUUUUAGGAUCAAGAAUAGAAGCCUGGCCUUUGUUAGAUUUGUUUUUCUAAUACUAACUACUGAGACUUGACCUUGUCAUUUAUUUUGAUUAUUUUACUGAAAAGUCUAAGUAGACAUGCUGGAGCAGGGCCCAUGCAACAAGCACAGCAGCCCAUGCCGGUAAUCCAGCAACAGAUGCUUCCAAGGGGACGCCCUUACCGCUACCCUCCUGGGCGCAACAUGCCUGGUGCUGCUGGUGGAAUGCUUUCUCCUUAUGACAUGGGAGGAUUGCCAGCGUGAGAUGCUGGCAUGACACAACUUAUUCCGAUUGGAGCAUUGGCUUCAGCCCUUGCAAAUGCAACUCCUGACCAUGAUGCUUGGCGAAGGUCUGUACCCCCUUGUGGAGCAACUGGAACAUGAUUAUGCAGCCAAAGUGACAGGGAUGCUUCUGGAGAUGGACCAGACUGAGUCCUGCAUUCAAAAGUUGCUGAAGCCAUGGAGGUACUGAGGAAUGUUGCUCAGCGGCAGCAGCAGCCCAAUGCACCUACUGAUCAGUUGGCUGCACUGUCUCUAAAUGAUGGCCUUGUAUCUUGAAGCGAUGCCGUUAUUAUUCGAUUUGCUUUGGAGACUGUCGUAAUUUGAACUAGUGAUAGUUUUGAGUGGUUUUGGUUUGGCUUUGGAUGGCAGAACUUGCUGGCUAAUGUAGGUUCAGAAUUUAGUUAUACUUUCAUUCACUUUCUUUUGUUCCUAGGAUUCAUGACAUGCCCUCUUAGAUUUCAUGACUUGGCUCUCUGAGA